CCUACGGGAGNCAGCAGUAGGGAAUCUUCCGCAAUGGGCGAAAGCCUNACGUAGCAACNCCGCGUGAGUNAUGAAGGUCUUCGGAUCGUAAAACUCUGUUAUCANGGAAGAACAAAUGUGUAAGUAACUGUGCACAUCUUGACGGUACCUGAUCAGAAAGCCNCGGCUAACUACGUGCCAGCAGCCGCGGUAAUACGUAGGUGGCAAGCGUUAUCCGGAAUUAUUGGGCGUAAAGCGCGCGUAGACGGUUUUUUAAGUCUGAUGUGAAAGCCCACGGCUCAACCCUGGAGGGUCAUUGGAAACUGGAAAACUUGAGUGCAGAAGAGGAAAGUGGAAUUCCAUGUGUAGCGGUGAAAUGCGCAGAGAUAUGGAGGAACACCAGUGGCGAAGGCGACUUUCUGGUCUGUAACUGACGCUGAUGUGCGAAAGCGUGGGGAUCAAACAGGAUUAGAUACCCUGGUAGUCCACGCCGUAAACGAUGAGUGCUAAGUGUUAGGGGGUUUACGCCCCUU
rnacentral:rRNA from 1 species